rnacentral:rRNA from 1 species
GACGAACGCUGGCGGCGUGCUUAACACAUGCAAGUCGAACGGAAAGGCCCUGCUUUUGUGGGGUGCUCGAGUGGCGAACGGGUGAGUAACACGUGAGUAACCUGCCCUUGACUUUGGGAUAACUUCAGGAAACUGGGGCUAAUACCGGAUAGGAGCUCCUGCUGCAUGGUGGGGGUUGGAAAGUUUCGGCGGUUGGGGAUGGACUCGCGGCUUAUCAGCUUGUUGGUGGGGUAGUGGCUUACCAAGGCUUUGACGGGUAGCCGGCCUGAGAGGGUGACCGGCCACAUUGGGACUGAGAUACGGCACAGACUCCUACGGGAGGCAGCAGUGGGGAAUAUUGCACAAUGGGCGGAAGCCUGAUGCAGCAACGCCGCGUGCGGGAUGACGGCCUUCGGGUUGUAAACCGCUUUCGCCUGUGACGAAGCGUGAGUGACGGUAAUGGGUAAGAAGCACCGGCUAACUACGUG